GUAAAAAGCCCCGGCCCCAUUUCCAUCUCGCACCACCACUAGGAAAAGUCGGAAAAAAAAUAUUGAUUUUUCCAGGAUGACAAUUAUUAUGACGUUUUGAAAUCAGCUGAUUCGUUUGACAUCGAAGGGGGGCACGUUAUGUGUGUCCCCUUAGUGACAGUUGACAGUGAGGUGUGUCAGCUGUCAAACUGAAAAAUAUCCCGAGGUUCUAAAACUGUUGAGAUAUUCAGGCGUCUUCACCAAUUAAUAUUAAUAUUGUAAUAAUUCUUCUUAUUUAAUUUGCAAAUAAACACAUUAAUUAUUGUGUUCUUAACAUCGAACAAUAAAUUCUUGAUUUUUA